GAUGAACGCUGGCGGCGUGCCUAAUACAUGCAAGUCGAGCGGACAGACGAGGCGCUUGCUCCUCUGACGUUAGCGGCGGGCGGGUGAGUAACACGUGGCUAACCUCCCUAUAAGACUGGGAUAACUUCGGGAAACCGGAGCUCAUACCGGAUAAGAUAUUGCACCGCAUGGUUCAAUAGUAACAGCCGGUUUUGCUGUCACUUAUAGAUGGAUCCGCGCCGUCUUGGCUAGUCGGUAAGGUAACGGCUUACCAAGGCAACGAUGCGUAGCCGACCUGAGAGGGUCGUCGCACAAACUGGAACUGAGACACGGUCCAGAGCCCUACGGGAGGCAGCAGCAGGGAACGCUCCGCCAGGGGCGAAGGCCUGACGGAGCAACGCCGCGUCAGUGAUGAAGGUCUUGGGAUCGUAAAACACUGCUAUGAGUGAAGAACAAAUGCGUAAGGAACUAGGCGCGUCGUGACGGUACCUAAUCAGAAAGCCCCGGCUAUCCACGUG
rnacentral:rRNA from 1 species